rnacentral:rRNA from 1 species
CUUUUUGACUUAAAUAUUAAGUAUAACCUGCCCAUUGAUAUUUUUAAAAGGCUGCGGUAUAUUGACCGUACAAAGGUAGCAUAAUCAUUAGUUUUUUAAUUGAGAACUUGUAUGAAUGGUUGAAUGAGAAAUGAACUUUUUUAAUAAAAAAAUUGAAUUUUACAUUUUAAUUAAAAGGUUGAAAUGUAUUUAAAAGACGAGAAGACCCUAUAGAGUUUUAUAAUUUAUAUUUAAUAUUAAAAAAAAUUAAUAGAUAUUUUUAUUUAAAUAAUUAUUUUGUUGGGGUGAUGAUAAAAUUUAACUAACUUUUAUUUUUUUUUACAUUAAUAUAUGGGAAAUUGAUCCACUAUUAGUGAUUAAAAGAUUAAAUUACCUUAGGGAUAACAGCGUAAUUUUUUUUUUAAGUUCAUAUUAAUAAAAAAUUUUGCGACCUCGAUGUUGGAUUAAGAUUUAAUUUUAGGUGCAGAAG